GUUGCCCUCUGCUGUGGACUAGUUGUACAUCCCCUCCUCUCCUGAUUUCGAGCACCUGAAUUCUUUUGUAGGGGGUUACACCACAGAUGGGCCCCCCAGAUGACAUUCGUUUUGACCUUCCCCCUAAGAACCUGUCUAGGCUAAAAAUAGGUUCUUAUUACCAGUUUAUGUUUGUAUUCUUAAUACCGCAAAAAUCUCAAAAUACUAAAAUUUACCGAUUUCAUUAACAGGGCGGACACUACCAGGCCACCUUUUCCGACCUUUGGUUGGUAGUGUUGUGCCCAACCCUUGCUGGAGACCCAGAAGUAAGGGCCACUAUUGACUUAAGCAAUGUUACCCAGGAUCGCAUACAAGCUGCUGUAGCAGAGGCUGAGGCGAGACUGGCCCUUACAACCGAAUCAAUGUGAGUUUUGUUGAUUGUCUUGAAUCACCAUCACCAUCCGAAAUGCCAGUGGAAGAAUCAUUGAAAGAAAUGACGAUCCUAUUGACGUUGUAGACGCAACGACACUAAUGGUCUUUCAUGACUUGGGUAUACUAGGAGCAA